UACGGAGGGGGCUAGCGUUGUUCGGCAUUACUGGGCGUAAAGCGCCCGUAGGCGGCUUUACAAGUCAGGGGUGAAAGCCCGCGGCUCAACCGCGGAAUUGCCCUUGAGACUGUAUCGCUUGAACACGGGAGAGGUGAGUGGAAUUCCGAGUGUAGAGGUGAAAUGCGUAGAUAUGCGGAAGAACACCAGUGGCGAAGGCGGCUCACUGGACCGUAGUUGACGCUGAGGUGCGCAAGCGUGGGGAGCUAACAGG
rnacentral:rRNA from 1 species